rnacentral:rRNA from 1 species
CGGCAUGCUUUACACAUGCAAGUCGAGCGGCAGCGCGGGGGCAACCCUGGCGGCGAGCGGCGGACGGGUGAGUAAUGCAUCGGAACGUAUCCCGUAGUGGGGGACAACCCAGCGAAAGCUGGGCUAAUACCGCAUAUGCUCUACGGAGGAAAGUGGGGGACCUGAGAGGGCCUCACGCUAUGGGAGCGGCCGAUGUCCGAUUAGCUAGUUGGUGGGGUAAAGGCUUACCAAGGCGACGAUCGGUAGCUGGUCUGAGAGGAUGAUCAGCCACACUGGGACUGAGACACGGCCCAGACUCCUACGGGAGGCAGCAGUGGGGAAUUUUGGACAAUGGGGGCAACCCUGAUCCAGCCAUGCCGCGUGCGGGAAGAAGGCCUUCGGGUUGUAAACCGCUUUUGGUCGGGAAGAAAGGGCUCAUCCUAAUAGGGUGGGUUGUUGACGGUACCGGCAGAAUAAGCACCGGCUAACUACGUGCCAGCAGCCGCGGUAAUACGUAGGGUGCGAGCGU